rnacentral:rRNA from 1 species
GUGCCAGCCGCCGCGGUAAUACGGAGGGCGCAAGCGUUAUCCGGAUUCAUUGGGUUUAAAGGGUGCGCAGGCGGAUUAUUAAGUCAGUGGUGAAAUCCUCCCGCUUAACGGGAGAACUGCCAUUGAUACUGAUAAUCUGGAAUACGGUUGAAGUGGGCGGAAUGUAGCAUGUAGCGGUGAAAUGCAUAGAGAUGCUACAGAACACCGAUCGCGAAGGCAGCUCACUAAGCCGAUAUUGACGCUCAGGCACGAAAGCGUGGGGAGCGAACAGGAUUAGAUACCCUGGUAGCCCACGCCGUAAACGAUGAUAACUCGUUGUUGGCGACACACAGUCAGCGACUAAGCGAAAGCGAUAAGUUAUCCACCUGGGGAGUACGAUCGCAAGGUUGAAACUCAAAGGAAUUGACGG